rnacentral:rRNA from 1 species
GACAGAGGAGCCAAGCGUUGUCCGGAUUGACUGGGCGUAAAGCGCACGCAGGCGGCUGUGCACGUGGGGUGUGAAAGCUGGCGGCUUAACUGCCAGACGCCACCUCAUACGGCACGGCUCGAGCCCGUGAGAGGUCCACGGAAUUGCCGGUGUAGUGGUGAAAUGCGUAGAGAUCGGCAGGAACACCCAGGGGGAAACCAGCCGACUGGGCAUAGGCUGACGCUGAGGUGCGAGAGCGUGGGGAGCGAACCGG